rnacentral:rRNA from 1 species
GGCUCAGAACGAACGCUGGCGGCGCGCCUAAUACAUGCAAGUCGAGCGAGAAGGUGUAGCAAUACACUUGUAAAGCGGCGAACGGGUGAGGAAUACAUGGGUAACCUACCCUCGAGUGGGGAAUAACUAGCCGAAAGGUUAGCUAAUACCGCAUACGUUUCCAGGACUUCGGUUCCGGAAAGAAAGCAGUACCGUGGGUACUGCGCUCAUGGAUGGGCUCAUGUCCUAUCAGCUUGUUGGUGAGGUAACGGCUCACCAAGGCUUCGACGGGUAGCUGGUCUGAGAGGACGAUCAGCCACACUGGCACUGCGACACGGGCCAGACUCCUACGGGAGGCAGCAGUAAGGAAUAUUGCGCAAUGGACGAAAGUCUGACGCAGCGACGCCGCGUGGGGGAUGAAGGUCUUCGGAUUGUAAACCCCUUUCGGGAGGGAAGAUGGAGUGGGUAACCACUUGGACGGUACCUCCAGAAGCAGCCACGGCUAACUUCGUGCCAGCAGCCGCGGUAAUACGAAGGUGGCAAGCGUUGUUCGGAUUCACUGGGCGUACAGGGAGCGUAGGCGGUUGGGUAAGCCCUCCGUGAAAUCUCCGGGCCUAACCCGGAAAGUGCAGAGGGGACUGCUCAGCUAGAGGAUGGGAGAGGAGCGCGGAAUUCCCGGUGCAGCGGUGAAAUGCGUAGAGA